ACGGAUUUUCAUAUUUAUUACUGGGGUGGUGCCAGAAAUUUUAGGGGGGUGAGCCGUGAGCAGGUGACUGAAGCAACACAAAGUGUCACCAAACCCCAGUAAGGUCUAUAUUCUAGGGGUGGAGCACUAGAGCCGUGAGGGGGAGUCUAGAGAGCAGAAAACAAAGUACCCCAGGAAACAUUUGAAAAAAAUCAUGAUUUCUAGCUUCGAAAGAAAGUUUUUUGAAGUUGUCAAUUUGUCAUAUCAAUGGAUUUGGCAUGUCCGAUUGUCUGUUGAGACUUGAGAGAGUUAAAGACUUAAAGUUAAAUGAACCUGUAAAAGUGUAAACCCAAUAGGCCAAUACACAAUAUGCUUUUACUUUUAUAAAGUCAUUGACAUUGUGUUGUUUGAAUCCGAGUACAAUUUAUGAUGCAACUCCGAUGUAAAUAACAUCUGGGGCGUAAAGAUUAAAUCUAGGCAAGUCUAUUUCCUAAAAGAAUUAAAAACUAAAAAUAUAGUGUUCGUAAAAAUUCCAAACGUUCCUUGCGUGCAAGCUAUUCGCAUGACAAGGCACUGCAAACUCUAUUCAGGGAAGAUAAUAGAGUUUCAAAACUUUACAAUUGUUCCAAUAAACCAGUGAAUGCAAGCAAG